UGAGCCAUUUUGUUUUAGAUUGUAGUCUAUCACUGUGGUGGUCAACUUUUUUUCAAUUCUUUUACUUUUUCAGAAAAUAAAACAAUUUGUUCUCUGCUGUUCCCCACUAGGUAGUCGAUUACAUCAAUUUGGGGGAGGGGGUGCGGAUCAAGAGAAGCCAGUUUGAUAGGAUCAACACCCAAGAUUUUAAAAAAUUUACCAGCGAGCUUUUCCUUGUAACCUUUGGGCGAGAAACUCUUGCCACUCACUCUCUAAAUGGAAGAAAGGCACCCAAUGCAGAGACCAGCAAGGAGGCACUUCCAGCUCACACAGUGUCCGUCUUAAUAGACUAUAUCCAAAAGAAAUUCAGUGUGUCUUCAUCUGAUGUAAAGGCAGUCAUAAGAACCAAGCUUAACAACGAGGACAAGCUAUUCAAAAAACGAAACCUUCCUGAGUAAUGAAAAUAGACUAUAAAGUGUUUAUUUGCAAAUGAUUAAUUUAUUAAUUUAGUUUCUAACUCUCAGCCGGUUAUUUAAAGUUUAAAUAAAUAAAAAAAUGUAUUGUUAAAUUGCAGAUUCACUGUUGUUUUGUACAUAAAUUAAUAUAUGUGUGAAAAUAAAACUAUUUUCUGGAUAACCCGGUUGUAUCUGUACAGCACUUUAUUAGUACUUGUACUUUAGUUGUAAUCUUUAUUUUAGUACUACUGCAGUUGUACUGCAGUUUAGAAAUACUUCAGCUGUACUGCAUCUGCUCCAAUACAUCUAAAGUACUAGUAAAAUAAUACUGUGAUACAGAUUCAGUACAGCUGAAGUACUUCUAAAAUACAACUGCAGUACAACUGCAGUAGUACUACAAUACAAAAGUAAAACUUCAGACUUCUUUUUUUUACAGUAAUACUGCAAUAUUGCAGUUUUUUCGUGUCCAAAAAACUGCAUUUUUCUACAUGUAACAAAAACUGUAGUAUUACUUCUAAAAAACUGCAGUAAUACUCAUGGUUAAGGUUAGGUUUAGGUGUAGGGAUAUGGUUAAGAAUAUAUUUUUGGAGUAAAAUGUUGUUCCAGGGUCAACAAAAUAUGUUGACCUAGGAACACUUCGGACUUGGCAAAAUCAGGACGUGCGUGAGCGUACCAGCUCUGCUUUGUUUACAGCUGUUACUGGGGAAACCUCUAUUUCUCGCGCUUUAUGUCUAUGCUUUAAAACAUCUCCUGCUGGCAAAUAAUUAAUUAGCAUUUUCAUUAAGUCCGCCUGAUCCACACAGAAAACACAUUUUGUUUGUUAUAAAAAAAUAUAUACUCUAGAGGGACUUGGCUGUUGUUAUUGAUUCUAUUUGGAGUCUACCAGAAGUUAAGUUAGGUCCACAAAAGCGCUCACGCGCAUUAACGUUUGUUUAUGUUGAUGCCGUUGAAACCGUCUAUAAAGUACCAUAUUAGUCGCAGCGACGUACCAUAUAACGUUCCAGUGACGUAACUUUGUGAUUCCCAUAUCCGUUGUGGCGACGUUAUAGUGGAACGUCGCUGGAACGUGAUGAGUACGUCCCAGCGACCAAACUGGCACCUUAUGAGGACGUGACAUUACAGGAUCAUAUUGGUAAUUCAUAUUUUCACCUCACCAUUACCUUGAAAUACAUAAAGAACUAAUAAACUCAAUCCAUCUCUGGGGCAAAAAAUAAACCUUAUGAAAUCUAAUUGUAAUCUAAUUAUAGGGGAUUCAUAGUUAAUACAUUAAUUACAUACAUGCAAUGCAAACAAAUACAAAAACAUUCUAAUAUAAAAUAGACAAAAACACACUGCAUUCAUUCACAAAUCAAUAUUUAUUCAGCACUACUUUCUACAAAUACUAAGCCAAAACAUUUUGAACAGUGCACCUGUUCUUUAACCAUGCAAAAUGUUACUAAGUUAUGAACAGAGAAAACUAAACACAUCAAUUCAUAGAUUACACAAUAUAAACAAUAGAAAAUGUUUGUCUUAAGGAUGGGGAGAUGGUUAAUGACGUUAUCAGUGAAAAUUAUAAAUAAUUAUCAGUAAAUUUAUUGAUACAACAUAAUUUAGUGCAACAAAAAAUACAUGAUAAAUAGAUAUGAAACAAUUCAGCAGAUACUGCACAGAGAUACUGCACAAAGUAAAACUGUGAGCGUCGUAUAUGAGGCUCCUGGUAUAAAUGUCUGGUGGUGAUGUGCUUUAAUUACACGACAUGCAGGAAAAUUUUUUGGCUAAUUAAUGCGCACGAUUUUCUAUUUCAUUCCCUCGAUUUGCUAAAACGUGUACACUAUUUAUACAUCAAGAGAACGAAUUAGUAAAUUGUGCAUACGAUUUAGCAAAUCAAUGAAAUGUAAAAGUAAUCGUGUACGUUUUAGUACAUCGAGGGAACAAAUUAGUAAAUCAUGGACAUGAUUUCUUUCUUUUUCUUGCAUGUCAUGAUCAGGGCUCUGUGCUCACUAUCAGAGGAUAAACCUAAAAAAUAAAGCAAUUACCAAAGAACCAUAAUUUUUGAGCUUCUCAGAAGAAAAACAUUCAUAAAGCGUAAAGAUAUGAAAAAUGAAAAAUAUAGAGAUUUCUAGCAUCUCUCCUGUAUUAUUUGUCCCACCCGAAAAAACAAAGUUUUUUAAGAAAAUGAGCAUAUCGACUUUCUCAGAAGAAUCUGUGAUCUCUGAUUACUGACUGUGGAGAAGACUCUUUCAGACAGUGCUGAGGAGGCAGAGUUAGGUGCAGGACAGCUGAUAGAGAAGAGGAAGAGUGUGUUUCUUACCCCAGCAGCAGAAGACAGGCUCUUCUGAGGGAAGGACAGGAGGCUUGAUGCAGUGUUUUGCUUUAGAACAAGGCUCCUUCUCAGCACCUGAUCUUCUUCAGGAAAGAGUUCCUCUAGUUUAGAGUCAGACACUCAGACUUCUUGCAAACUGGAAUCUUUUAAUAACAUUUAGCAUAUUAUUGUAGCCAUGUUCAUUGUUUUUAUUAUAACACAUGGCAAGCUUAUGAGAAAAUUGUUAAACGUGUUCUUCCUCCUCUUCUUCAUCCUGGGCCUGCACUGUCAACAUCCUCUGAGCUGAAAGGGAGGAUCAUCUUGUUAAUGUUGCUCAUGUAUGUUCACAACCAGUCAAAAAUCUGGAAUCUUUUCUUUAUGGUUUUCAAGAGAAGUCUCUUCUGCUCACCAAGGCUAGAUUAAUUUGAUCAAUUUUUUGAAAAAAAAAAAAAAAAAACAGAAAGAAAGAAAUAACAGUUUUCAUACUGUUUUUUUUAAUAUACUUAAACAUAUUUAUUGAAAUAAUUAUGAGGCAAAGCUGAAUUUUUCAGUAACUUUACUCCAGUCUUCAGUGUCACAUGAUCUUUUUCAUAUACUGGUAUGCUGAU
rnacentral:lncRNA from 1 species